GAACGCUGGCGGCAGGCUUAACACAUGCAAGUCGAGCGGAAACGAUGGGUGCUUGCACCCAGGCGUCGAGCGGCGGACGGGUGAGUAACGAGUGGGAAUUUGCCUAGUAGUGGGGGAUAGCCCGGGGAAACCCGGAUUAAUACCGCAUACGUCCUACGGGAGAAAGCAGGGGAUCUUCGGACCUUGCGCUAUUGGAUGAGCCUAUGUCGGAUUAGCUAGUUGGUGAGGUAAGGGCUCACCAAGGCGACGAUCUCUAGCUGGUCUGAGAGGAUGAUCAGCCACACUGGAACUGAGACACGGUCCAGACUCCUACGGGAGGCAGCAGUGGGGAAUAUUGCACAAUGGGCGCAAGCCUGAUGCAGCCAUGCCGCGUGUGUGAAGAAGGCCUUCGGGUUGUAAAGCACUUUCAGUAAGGAGGAAAAGUUAGUAGUUAAUACCUGCUAACCGUGACGUUACUUACAGAAGAAGCACCGGCUAACUCCGUGCCAGCAGCCGCGGUAAUACGGAGGGUGCAAGCGUUAAUCGGAAUUACUGGGCGUAAAGCGCGCGUAGGUGGCUUGUUAAGCGAGAUGUGAAAGCCCCGGGCUCAACCUGGGAACUGCAUUUCGAACUGGCAGGCUAGAGUAUGGUAGAGGUAAGUGGAAUUUCCUGUGUAGCGGUGAAAUGCGUAGAUAUAGGAAGGAACACCAGAGGCGAAGGCGACUUACUGGACUGAUGCUGACGCUGAGGUGCGAAAGCGUGGGGAGCAAACAGGAUUAGAUCCCCUGUAGUCCACGCCGUAAACGAUGUCUACUAGCCGUUGGGAGACUUGAUCUCUUAGUGGCGCCUAACGCAAUAAGUAGACCGCCUGGGGAGUACGGCCGCAAGGUUAAAACUCAAAUGAAUUGACGGGGGCCCGCACAAGCGGUGGAGCAUGUGGUUUAAUUCGAAGCAACGCGAAGAACCUUACCUACUCUUGACAUCCAGAGAACUCGCUAGAGAUAGCUUGGUGCCUUCGGGAAGCAGUGACAGGUGCUGCAUGGCCGUCGUCAGCUCGUGUCGUGAGAGUUGGGUUAAGUCCCGUAACGAGCGCAACCCUUGUCCUUAUUUGCCAGCACUUCGGGUGGGAACUCUAAGGAGACUGCCGGUGACAAACCGGUGGAAGGUGGGGACGACGUCAAGUCAUCAUGGCCCUUACGAGCGGGGCUACACACGUGCUACAAUGGCCAGGACAAACGGUUGCAACCCCGCGAGGGUGAGCUAAUCUGAGAAACCUGGUCGUAGUCCGGAUCGCAGUCUGCAACUCGACUGCGUGAAGUCGGAAUCGCUAGUAAUCGUGAAUCAGAAUGUCACGGUGAAUACGUUCCCGGGCCUUGUACACACCGCCCGUCACACCAUGGGAGUGGACUGCACCAGAAGUGGUUAGUUUAACCUUCGGGAGAACGAUCACCACGGUGUGGUUCAUGACUGGGGUGAAGUCGUAACAAGGUAGCCGU
rnacentral:rRNA from 1 species